rnacentral:rRNA from 1 species
UACGUAGGGUGCAAGCGUUGUCCGGAAUUAUUGGGCGUAAAGAGCUCGUAGGCGGUUUGUCGCGUCGGCUGUGAAAUCCCGAGGCUCAACCUCGGGCCUGCAGUCGAUACGGGCAAACUAGAGUGUGGUAGGGGAGACUGGAAUUCCUGGUGUAGCGGUGAAAUGCGCAGAUAUCAGGAGGAACACCGGCGGCGAAGGCGGGUCUCUGGGCCAUAACUGACGCUGAGGAGCGAAAGCGCGGGGAGCGAACAGG